rnacentral:rRNA from 1 species
GUGAGGAAUAUUGGUCAAUGGGCGGGAGCCUGAACCAGCCAAGUCGCGUGAAGGAAGAAGGAUCUAUGGUUCGUAAACUUCUUUUGCAGGGGAAUAAAGUGCAGGACGUGUCCUGUUUUGUAUGUACCCAGAGAAUAAGGAUCGGCUAACUCCGUGCCAGCAGCCGCGGUAAUACGGAGGAUCCGAGCGUUAUCCGGAUUUAUUGGGUUUAAAGGGUGCGUAGGUGGUUUGAUAAGUCAGCGGUGAAAGUUUGCAGCUUAACUGUAAAAAUGCCGUUGAAACUGUCGGACUUGAGUGUAAAUGAGGUAGGCGGAAUGCGUGGUGUAGCGGUGAAAUACAUAGAUAUCACGCAGAACUCCGAUUGCGAAGGCAGCUUACUAAGCUACAACUGACACUGAAGCACGAAAGCGUGGGGAUCAAACAGGAUUAGAAACCCGGGUAGUCC